CUAAAGCUAAAUAUUGGCCACAGACCGAUAGCGCACAAGAAGAGUGAUCGAAAGAUGAAAAGCACUUUGAAAAGAGGGUUAAACAGCACGUGAAAUUGUUAAAAGGGAAGCGCUUGUGACCAGACUUGCGCCCGGAGAAUCACCCAGCCCUCGCGGCUGGGGCACUUUGCCGGCACAGGCCAGCAUCAGCUCGCCGUCGGGGACAAAAGUAGGGGGAACGUAGCUCUCUUCGGGGAGUGUUAUAGCCCCCUACAUAAUACCCUUCGGCGGGCUGAGGUACGCGCUCCGCAAGGAUGCUGGCGUAAUGGUCACCAGCGACCCGUCUUGAAACACGGACCAAGGAGUCAACCUUAUGUGCGAGUGUUUGGGUGUCACACCCCUACGCGUAAUGAAAGUGAACGCAGGUGAGAGCUUCGGCGCAUCAUCGACCGAUCCUGAUGUUCUCGGAGGGAUUUGAGUAAGAGCAUAUAGGGUUGGACCCGAAAAAAGGGGAACUAUGCGUGUAUAGGGCGAAGCCAGAGGAAACUCUGGUGGAGCCUCGCACCGAUUCUGACGUGCAAAUCGAUCGGCAAAUAUGCGCGUGGGGGCGAAAGACUAAUCGAACCUUCUAGUAGCUGGUUUCCGCCGAAGUUUCCCUCCCGGAAAGAAAAA
rnacentral:rRNA from 1 species